rnacentral:rRNA from 1 species
UACAGAGGUCUCAAGCGUUGUUCGGAUUCAUUGGGCGUAAAGGGUGCGUAGGUGGCUUGGUAAGUUGAAGGUGAAAUCUCGGAGCUCAACUCCGAAACUGCCUUCAAUACUGCCGGGCUCGAGGACUGUAGAGGAGAAUGGAAUUCACGGUGUAGCAGUGAAAUGCGUAGAUAUCGUGAGGAACAUCUGUGGCGAAGGCGACUGCCUGGACCAGCACUGACACUGAGGCACGAAAGCGUGGGGAGCAAACAGG